rnacentral:tRNA from 1 species
GGAACCAUAGCUCAGUGGCAGAGCAUCUGCUUGGCAUGCGGAAGGCCCCAGGUUCAAUUCCCGGCAUCUCCG